UUAAAUUGAAGAGUUUGAUCAUGGCUCAGAUUGAACGCUGGCGGCAGGCCUAACACAUGCAAGUCGAACGGUAGCACAGAGAGCUUGCUCUCGGGUGACGAGUGGCGGACGGGUGAGUAAUGUCUGGGAAACUGCCUGAUGGAGGGGGAUAACUACUGGAAACGGUAGCUAAUACCGCAUAACGUCGCAAGACCAAAGAGGGGGACCUUCGGGCCUCUUGCCAUCAGAUGUGCCCAGAUGG
rnacentral:rRNA from 1 species